AUUGAACGCUGGCGGAAUGCUUUACACAUGCAAGUCGAACGGCAGCACGGGUGCUUGCACCUGGUGGCGAGUGGCGAACGGGUGAGUAAUACAUCGGAACGUACCCAGUCGUGGGGGAUAACGAAGCGAAAGUUACGCUAAUACCGCAUACGUCCUGAGGGAGAAAGCGGGGGACCGUAAGGCCUCGCGCGAUUGGAGCGGCCGAUGGCGGAUUAGCUAGUUGGUGGGGUAAAGGCCUACCAAGGCGACGAUCCGUAGCGGGUCUGAGAGGACGGCCCGCCACACUGGAACUGAGACACGGUCCAGGCUCCUACGGGAGGCAGCAGUGGGGAAUUUUGGACAAUGGGCGAAAGCCUGAUCCAGCCAUUCCGCGUGAGUGAAGAAGGCCUUCGGGUUGUAAAGCUCUGUCGGCAGGGAAGAAACGGCUUGGGAUAAUACCCCGGGCUAAUGACGGUACCUGAAGAAGAAGCACCGGCUAACUACGUGCCAGCCGCCGCCGUAA
rnacentral:rRNA from 1 species